GACGAACGCUGGCGGCGUGCUUAACACAUGCAAGUGGAGCGACGAACCCACCUUCGGGUGGGGGCAGAGCCGCGAACGGGUGAGUAACACGUGGGUUACCUGCCCCGAUGACCGGGACAACCCGUCGAAAGACGGGCUAAUACCGGAUGUGACCGAAAGGUGAAAGGAAGCUUCGGCCUCCGCAUCGGGAUGGGCCCGCGGCGCAUUAGCUUGUUGGUGAGGUAACGGCUCACCAAGGCGACGAUGCGUAGCUGGUCUGAGAGGACGAUCAGCCACACUGGGACUGAGACACGGCCCAGACUCCUACGGGAGGCAGCAGUGGGGAAUCUUGCGCAAUGCACGAAAGUGUGACGCAGCAACGCCGCGUGCGGGAAGACGGCCUUCGGGUUGUAAACCGCUUUCAGUUGGGACGAAGCUCUCGGGGUGAACAGCCUUGUGGAGUGACGGUACCUUCAGAAGAAGCCCCGGCUAACUACGUGCCAGCCGCCGCAGUAACAC
rnacentral:rRNA from 1 species